GUUAAAUUCGGCGACGUCUAGUAACCCCGCCUUUCCUCGUCAGGACGGAGUUGAUUGGAUAAUUUAUUCCUCAAUCAUGUCUGCAGCUCGGAGCUGCGGGAAACGGGAAACAUUUUACAGGUGUGAUUGAUGUUUGCUUGAGGAGAUAGGCCUAUAAACUGAAGAACAUCAUUAUAAUCUCUACCUCAAGCAAGAUGUUUAAGCAAGGCCUUCAUUGUGCUAGGAACAACUUCUACAGUUGCUGGAAAACUGUGCAACUUCUGAAUUUCCUCUUUGGAUGGGCAACUUAAAUACUUCAGUAAUGGAUGCAUCAUCCAAGGCAAAAUUAUGGCCAUGGCCAUGCAUUGAUAGCACACCCAAAGAGAUGGUUACACUAAUCAAAUACAUCAAAGGAGCAAGGACAUGAAAUUAUUGUCACGCCGAGAUUUGUUCUCUCUUCCACCGAAGAAGAUCAGAGCAGAGCCAACAAGGAGAGGGAAAGGAUCAGAGAUCCUCCAAAGGUUAUACCAUAGACAGCUGCGGAGGAGAUAAUGACUGAUGAUGGAGAAACUGGAUUCUCCAAGGUGCCCAAGAUGAUGUAAUUAAAUAUCAAACUCCCACAGUCAUGUUUGCUUGAUUUUAGCUAAUGCUAAGUUUCAGCAUGCUCAUCUGAUUCCUGUAUUUUCUCUCCACCUUGACUUGCAUGGUGGAGAGAAUACAGAAAUUAGCCCACCUGUACAAGGACUCCUUAGUUGAGUUGAUUCCUUCCAAGUUUGCCCCACAUAAAACUCAUGGUUACUGCAUCAGUUGAGAUACUGGCUCUUCAUUGGGUGCAGGUAGUUAGGCGGCUGAGAUGUCACUCAAUGACUCAUAGUUCAAAAGUGGGUAAGAGCAGAUGGUAGUCUUGGGGACAUUAUAAAAGAUCCUUGUCAGAGGGUGCAGCCCUCUUCAGUGCUUGGGUGGACACAAACGCUGUACCCAAGGCCAUCGAUUAAAAGAGACAAAGAAAAUCUGAGUGCUAUUGGCAGAUCCUACAUGCACUCUUUGUGUCAUUGCAGAGGCCUUGACCAUAACCUUGCAGACUCCAGGCAGCAAUGUGUACACCUUAAAUAGGAUUAUAGACUUCUCUGGUUUUGUUCUUGCAGUGAAUCACUGAUCUGCACCAAGCUGUUACUAUCAAGAGGGGGUUACAACUGAAUGGGAUAAUGGAAUUGCAUUUGAAGGGCUUGUAUUUCUCACCUAUUGCUCUGCCCCUCCAUCCCCAUCAUCCCACUGAGGUUCCCAACAUGGGGCUUCCUCUCCCUCUCUUGACCUUAAAUUUCCCUUGUUUGAGAGAAUCACAAGAAUUGUUAAGAUUUUAAUUUACUAGUUGGGAAUAAAUCACUCAUCAUAAGUUUUAAAUAGUUUGAAAACCUUCUGUAUAAUUUGCAAGAAAUCAUUCAUCAAUACUAUAAACAUAACAAAUGUUCAAUGAGUAAAUGACAAUAAAAAUAUUCUGUCAACUAGCCACAUAAAAUGCAGUGUUGCCACAUUCUUCUAUAGGAAACUUAGCAGUGAUUCUUGGCAUCUUUAAAGCAAUUAUAGAUAUUUAGUUACAGGACAAUGAUUGUCAUUUGUAGAUAUACUGUAUGUAUGGAUGAAUUUAUAGAACAUAUGUAAUUAAUGUCAUUAUUUGCAAAUUUUUCCAUCUCAGUUAUGCUCUGAACAAAUUAGAGGUGUAAGCUCUAUAUAGCAAGCCAGUUGGCCAGCUGAUAAUAAAAAAAUUUAUG